rnacentral:snRNA from 1 species
UUGCUUUGGCAGCACAUAUAAUAAAAUUAGAAUGAUACAGAGAUUAGCAUGGCCCCUAUGCAAGGAUGACAUGCAAAUUCACAAAGCAUUCCAUAUAUGU